rnacentral:rRNA from 1 species
GUACACUCCUACGGGAGGCAGCAGUGGGGAAUUUUGGACAAUGGGCGAAAGCCUGAUCCAGCAAUGCCGCGUGAGUGAAGAAGGCCUUCGGGUUGUAAAGCUCUUUUGUCAGGGAAGAAACGGUGAGAGCUAAUAUCUCUUGCUAAUGACGGUACCUGAAGAAUAAGCACCGGCUAACUACGUGCCAGCAGCCGCGGUAAUACGUAGGGUGCAAGCGUUAAUCGGAAUUACUGGGCGUAAAGCGUGCGCAGGCGGUUUUGUAAGUCUGAUGUGAAAUCCCCGGGCUCAACCUGGGAAUUGCAUUGGAGACUGCAAGGCUAGAAUCUGGCAGAGGGGGGUAGAAUUCCACGUGUAGCAGUGAAAUGCGUAGAUAUGUGGAGGAACACCGAUGGCGAAGGCAGCCCCCUGGGUCAAGAUUGACGCUCAUGCACGAAAGCGUGGGGAGCAAACAGGAUUAGAAACCCGUGUAGUCCC